GGGGUUGUGGCUCAGCGGUAGAGCAGUUGCCUAGCACAUAUGAGACCCUGGGUUCGAUCCUCAGGACCCCA
rnacentral:tRNA from 1 species